UACGGGGGGGGCAAGCGUUGUUCGGAAUUACUGGGCGUAAAGGGCGUGUAGGCGGCCUAACUAAGUCCGACGUGAAAUCCCCCAGGCUCAACUUGGGAACUGCAUCCGAUACUGGAUGGCUUGAAUUCGGGAAGAGGGAUGGCAGAAUUCCAAGGUGUAGCGGUGAAAUGACGUAGAUAUCAUGAGGAAGACCAGUGGCGAAGGCGGGUCUCUGGACAGUUCCUG
rnacentral:rRNA from 1 species